GGGGGCUAGCGUUGUUCGGAAUUACUGGGCGUAAAGCGCACGUAGGCGGCUUUGUAAGUUAGAGGUGAAAGCCCAGGGCUUAACCCUGGAAUUGCCUUUAAGACUGCAUCGCUAGAAUCGUGGAGAGGUGAGUGGAAUUCCGAGUGUAGAGGUGAAAUUCGUAGAUAUUCGGAAGAACACCAGUGGCGAAGGCGGCUCACUGGCCCGGUACUGACGCUGAGGUGCGAAAGCGUGGGGAGCAAACAGG
rnacentral:rRNA from 1 species